rnacentral:rRNA from 1 species
AGCAGCCGCGGUAAUUCCAGCUCCAAUAGCGUAUAUUAAAGUUGUUGCAGUUAAAAAGCUCGUAGUUGAAUUUCGGGAUCAGCAGGUCGGUCGUGCCACUGGUAUGCACUGGCCUUGCUGAUUCCUCCCUCUUGAUGAGCCGUAAUGCCAUUAAUUUGGUGCUGCGGGGAAUCAGGACUGUUACUUUGAAAAAAUUAGAGUGUUUAAAGCAGGCAUGCGCUUGAAUACAUUAGCAUGGAAUAAUGAAAUAGGACGUUCGAUCCUAUUUUGUUGGCUUCUAGGAUUGACGUAAUGAUUAAUAGGGAUAGUUGGGGGCAUUAGUAUUCAAUUGUCAGAGGUGAAAUUCUUGGAUUUAUUGAAGACUAACUACUGCGAAAGCAUUUGCCAAGGAUGUUUUCAUUAAUCAAGAACGAAAGUUAGGGGAUCGAAGACGAUCAGAUACCGUCGUAGUCUUAACCAUAAACUAUGCCGACUAGGGAUCGGAUGAUGUUAAUUUUUUCAAUGACUCAUUCGGCGCCUU